rnacentral:rRNA from 1 species
GCAUCUAUUAGAUUAAAACCAAUCGGGUUUCGGCCCGUCAAUUGGUGACUCUGAAUAACUAUGGCUGAUCGCAUGGUCUUGAACCGGCGACGUGUCUAUCAAGUGUCUGCCUUAUCAACUGUCGAUGGUAGUUUAUGUGCCUACCAUGGUUGUAACGGGUAACGGAGAAUAAGGGUUCGACUCCGGAGAGGGAGCCUGAGAAACGGCUACCACAUCCAAGGAAGGCAGCAGGCGCGCAAAUUACCCACUCUCGGCAUGAGGAGGUAGUGACGAAAAAUAACGAGACCGUUCUCUCUGAGGCCGGUUAUCGGAAUGGGUACAAUUUAAACCCGUUAACGAGGAUCUAUGAGAGGGCAAGUCUGGUGCCAGCAGCCGCGGUAAUUCCAGCUCUCAAAGUGUAUAUCGUCAUUGCUGCGGUUAAAAAGCUCGUAGUUGGAUCUGCGCCUCAGGACUUGGUCCGCCCACUGGGCGAGAACUGGGCUCCUGGGCUAGUACUGCUGGUUUUCCCUACGUUGCCUUCAUCGGUCGCGUAGGGUGGCUAGCGAGUUUACUUUGAAAAAAUUAGAGUGCUUCACGCGGGCUUAUGUCUGAAUACUCGUGCAUGGAAUAAUAGAAUAGGAUCUCGGUUCUAUUUUGUUGGUUUUCUGAUCUGAGAUAAUGGUUAAGAGGGACGGACGGGGGCAUUCGUAUCGCUGCGUGAGAGGUGAAAUUCUUGGACCGUAGCGAGACGUCCGACUGCGAAAGCAUUUGCCAAGAAUGUCUUCAUUAAUCAAGAACGAAAGUCAGAGGUUCGAAGGCGAUCA